rnacentral:rRNA from 1 species
GAUGAACGCUAGCGGCAGGCUUAACACAUGCAAGUCGAGGGGCAUCACGGAAUGUAGCAAUACAAACUGGUGGCGACCGGCGCACGGGUGAGUAACAGGUAUGCAAUCUGCCUCUGACAGUGGGAUAACCCGUCGAAAGACGGACUAAUACCGCAUAAGACCCCGCCACGGCAUCGUGGUGAGGUAAAAGUUUUAAAGGUUAGAGAUGAGCAUGCUUAUCAUUAGGUAGUUGGUAGAGUAACGGCCUACCAAGCCGACGAUGAUUAGGGGUUCUGAGAGGAAGGUCCCCCACACUGGUACUGAGACACGGACCAGACUCCUACGGGAGGCAGCAGUGAGGAAUAUUGGUCAAUGGGCGCAAGCCUGAACCAGCCAUGCCGCGUGAAGGAAGAAUGCCCUACGGGUUGUAAACUUCUUUUAUACGGGAACAAUAAAGGAUACGAGUAUCCUGACGAGAGUACCGUAUGAAUAAGCAUCGGCUAACUCCGUGCCAGCAGCCGCGGUAAAAC